AACUGCGAGUGAAGCGGGAAGAGCUCAAAUUUAAAAUCUGGCGGCUCUGCCGUCCGAGUUGUAGUCUGGAGAAGUGUUAUCCGCGUCGGACCGUGUACAAGUCUCCUGGAAUGGAGCGUCAUAGAGGGUGAGAAUCCCGUCCAUGACACGGACGCCCGAUGCUUUGUGAGGCACUCUCAAAGAGUCGAGUUGUUUGGGAAUGCAGCUCAAAAUGGGUGGUAAAUUCCAUCUAAAGCUAAAUAUUGGCGAGAGACCGAUAGCGAACAAGUACCGUGAGGGAAAGAUGAAAAGCACUUUGGAAAGAGAGUUAAACAGUACGUGAAAUUGUUGAAAGGGAAACGCUUGAAGUCAGUCGCGUCCCGUGGAACUCAGCCUGGCUUCGGCCUGGUGUACUUUCCAUGGGACGGGUCAACAUCAAUUUCGGCCGGUGGAAAAGGGCGAGGGGAAUGUAGCGUCGUUUCGGCGACGUGUUAUAGCCCCUUGUCGUAUACGCUGGCUGGGAUUGAGGACCGCAGCACGCCCUUGUGGCCGGGGUUCGCCCACGUAACGUGCUUAGGAUGUUGGCAUAAUGGCUUUAAGCGACCCGUCUUGAAACACGGACCAAGGAGUCUAACAUGCUUGCGAGUGUUCGGGUGGAAAACCCUUGCGCGUAAUGAAAGUGAAAGUUGGGAGCCUCCGCAAGGGGGUGCACCGACGCCCGGCCCUGACGUUCUCUGACGGUGCUGCGGUAGAGCAGGUAUGUUGGGACCCGAAAGAUGGUGAACUAUGCCUGAAUAGGGCGAAGCCAGAGGAAACUCUGG
rnacentral:rRNA from 2 species